rnacentral:rRNA from 1 species
GACAGAGGGUGCAAACGUUGUUCGGAAUUACUGGGCGUAAAGCGCGUGUAGGCGGCUAUGCAAGUCGGAUGUGAAAGCCCCCGGCUCAACUGGGGAGGGUCAUUCGAUACUGAUCGACUGGAAGGCAGGAGAGGGAAGCGGAAUUCCCGGUGUAGUGGUGAAAUGCGUAGAUAUCGGGAGGAACACCAGUGGCGAAGGCGGCUUCCUGGCCUGUUCUUGACGCUGAGGCGCGAAAGCGUGGGGAGCGAACAGG